rnacentral:rRNA from 1 species
CUCGACUCAGCGGCGGACGGGUGAGGAACGCGUGGGUACCUGCCCUAUACAGGGGGAUACCGUGUAGAAAUGCACGCUAAAACCGCAUAAGGUCGCAUGACAAAAACUGAGGUGGUAUAGGAUGGGCCCGCGUCUGAUUAGCUAGUUGGAGAGGUAAAGGCUCCCCAAGGCGACGAUCAGUAGCCGGUCUGAGAGGAUGGACGGCCACAUUGGGACUGAGACACGGCCCAAACUCCUACGGGAGGCAGCAGUGGGGAAUAUUGCACAAUGGGGGAAACCCUGAUGCAGCGAUGCCGCGUGAAGGAAGAAGGACUUCGGUUCGUAAACUUCUAUCAGCAAGGAAGAGGCUUCAAGGGAAGGAGACAGUACUUGAGUAAGCAGCCCCGGCUAACUACGUGCCAGCAGCCGCGGUAAUACGUAGGGGGCGAGCGUUAUCCGGAAUUACUGGGUGUAAAGGGUGCGUAGGCGGCAACGUAAGUCUGUUGUGAAAGGUGAUGGCUUAACCAGCGAAGUGCAAUGGAAACUGCGGAGCUAGAGUGCAGGAGAGGAAAGCGGAAUUCCUAGUGUAGCGGUGAAAUGCGUAGAUAUUAGGAAGAACACCAGUGGCGAAGGCGGCUUUCUGGAC